CGGGGCUCCCGCGCGAGGGUCCUUGGGUCGAAACCCGUUCCGCUCCGGCGCCGAGACUAGGCUCGAGAGGGGCUCCCGGGCCGCCCCGCGACGGUCUCCGCCUUUCCGCUCCCGGAAGCCCCCCCGCCGCGAAGCUCCCCGGCCGGCCGGGAGGAGCUUCCGGGGUUGCUAAGUAACGGGCGCCCGCUUCCUGCCUGGCGCGGGUCGGCCUUCCCCGCUGUUCCUCCGGUGCCCGCGGGAGACGAGAGGGAGCGGCCAUGGCGGCUGGCGGGCCGCGCGGAUGGGUGCUAGCGCUGCUAGUUGCCCAGGUCUCCGGCGAGUACGGCGUGGCCCGCGUCUUCCCGGAGAAGGGCGGCGGCGGCGGCGGCGGCGGCGGGAAGGACUACUGCAUCCUCUUCAACUCGCAGUGGGCCCACCUGCCGCACGACCUAGGCAAGGCGUCUCUCCUGGCGCUGCAGGAUCAGACGGUGUCGGCCCUGUGCGCGGCCUCCGAGGUGCCCGAGGGCGGCUUCGGCAACGCGGUGCCCAUGGUGAUGCGGGGCAACUGCACCUUCUACGAGAAGGUCCGCCUCGCGCAGGUGAACGGCGCCCGGGGGCUGCUGAUCGUCAGCAAGGAGAGGCUGGUGCCCCCCGCCGGUAACAGGAGUCAGUAUGAGGAAAUUGAUAUCCCAGUGGCCCUGCUCAGCUAUGCAGAUAUGCUGGACAUAGGACAGAGCUUUGGUCGCUCGGCCAAGGUGGCCAUGUACGCACCCAGCGAGCCCGUUCUAGACUACAACAUGGUGAUCAUCUUUGUGAUGGCGGUGGGCACGGUGGCCGUUGGCGGAUACUGGGCCGGGAGCAGAGACGUGAAAAAGCGCUACAUGAAACACAAGCGGGACGACGGGGCUGAGAAGCAAGAGGACGAGACGGUGGACGUCACUCCGGUCAUGAUCGGUGUCUUUGUGGUCAUGUGUUGCUCUAUGCUGGUCCUUCUCUAUUACUUCUACGACCAACUAGUGUACGUCAUCAUUGGGAUUUUCUGCCUGGCCGCUUCCAUUGGCCUCUACAGUUGCCUUUCCCCAUUUGUCCGGAGGUUCCCCCUCGGGAAGUGCCGCCUUCCAAGUAACAACUGGCCUUAUCUCCACAAACGGCCCCAAGUCCGGAUGCUCCUCCUCGCGGCCUUCUGUGUUGCUGUCAGCCUGGUCUGGGGUCUCUUCCGAAACGAAGACCAGUGGGCCUGGAUCCUCCAAGACGCUCUGGGGAUUGCCUUCUGCCUCUACAUGCUGAAAACCAUCCGCUUGCCAACAUUCAAGGGCUGCACUUUGCUCCUCCUGGUCCUCUUCGUGUAUGACGUCUUUUUCGUCUUCAUCACUCCAUACCUAACCAAGACAGGGGAGAGCAUCAUGGUGGAAGUGGCCGCUGGACCGACUGACUCGUCCACUCGUGAAAAGCUCCCCAUGGUGCUCAAAGUCCCCCGGCUCAACUUCUCCCCACUGGCCCUCUGUGACAGGCCCUUCUCUCUCCUGGGAUUUGGGGACAUCUUGGUACCAGGUCUGCUGGUGGCCUAUUGCCACAGGUUUGAUAUCCAAGUCCAGUCAUCCAGAGUGUACUUUGUAGCUUGCACCAUAGGUUACGGCAUCGGCCUCCUGGCAACCUUUGCGGCCCUGGCCUGGAUGCGGAAGGGCCAGCCGGCCCUCCUCUACCUGGUGCCCUGCACGCUGCUCACCAGCCUCCUCGUGGCCCUGUGGCGCCGGGAGCUGGCCACGUUCUGGACGGGCAGCGGCUUUGCGAAAGAGCUACCUCAUCCUCCCUUAGUCGUCUCCCCCGUCAGCUGCCCUGCUCCCCCGAAAGCGGGGGGUCCUCCAGCAUCCCACCCAGAGGCCGAUGGAGAAGCAGCCGCCUCCCCUGUCCCCCCAGGAGAGCCCGCCGGCACUCCCAUGGGCCCCGAGGAGGAGGAGGAGGAGGAAGAGCAGGAGCCACGCGCCCCUUUCCUGGAGGUGGAGCAAGAGGCGAAGGAAGAGGAGGAGACGGACCCUGCUGAGCCCCAGCCUGAGCAGCCGCCGGCCCAGCAGCCCCAGGGAGAGGCGCCCGGUGACCCUCUGAAGGACGACGCUCCAGGACAGACGAGCCCCCUCAGCCGAGCAUAGUCUGGCUAGACUCCCUCUCACCCCCGCCCACUUUUCUUCCGGUCCCUCCCCCCCUCCCCCAGUGCAGCUGAGGACUGGUUUGGUCCCCUGUGCAUUUCGCUCAGAGGCACGAUGUCAAUUCUUGAACUGUUAGGAGACUCCCAGAUUGCACUUUGGAGGGGCGGCCGCCUGCGUUUCAUACCAAAUCCCCUUCCGUUUGGAAUAUGGUGCUUUUACGAAGGUUCAAAUAGAAUUUCAGCAACUAUUUAAAAGACAAAUCAGCAAGCAGAUGCCUUGCCUUUCCCCGUUUUAGUCUACUAGCAUUAAUGUCUUUUUUAAAAAAAACAAAAACCUGUAGGCAGCAUUUGCACUUGUCUGGCCAUGAUAAAUCGCUUCAGCAUAACUAGGGCUCCAGCGGUUUCCUCUUUUUAAAACUCCCCUCUCCGUGGAAGACGCUGCGGUGCUCGUCCUUCCCAGAAAGGCCACCCAGUCUUCAAGGAAUGAGCCGGUCUCAAAAAACAACAUCCCCACUCUGUCCCCGCAGGCUUUUAGUCCCGUCUGUCUUUUCCGGGGGCUCGUGUGCUGGAAGGAAGGGGUGUCGGGGCCUGCAGACUGACUCCUUGGGGCACGGCACCCCAAAAUGCUGGCCUCAGGAGGAGCUUAAGAGCCCAGCAUUUCCUAGCUCCCUGGGCUGUCACUUCUGGCCACCAAGGCCAGGCCAGGUCGUUUUCCACGACCGCAGCUCUUCGUGGAAGUCGGUCCUGGCCCUGCCCGGCCUGUGGCUGCCUCAAGGCCACUUCCAGGGAACAAGGCCAUGCGAGAGGUAAGAAGUCUUCCUGCAAAGUGACUGCCCGAGCCCUGGAGGGGGAGGCAACGGACUGGGGUUGGUGGGCCCCUUCUCUUCUUCUGGCCCAGCUGGGACUCACGGAGGAGGAGGAGGAGGCUCCGACAGGCAGUUUGGGAAAGGAAGCGGCUGCAGCUCUCCCCCCCAGCCCUCCUUUGGGGGGGGGGCACACCCAGUGAGGGCUGGUGGGUGGGGGAACCUACCUGCAGCCUUCCAGGGACAACAGUCUUAACACGGGGAGUGCCGGGCCCCCCUUCAGCUUCUCCUCCUUGGCAUCUGGGCCGCCAGAGGCUCCUCUGUGUUGUCUUUGUGUUUCAGCGUAGUGUGUUUGCAAUUUUUUUGUUCUCUGGGCUGCAAGAAGUAGCUUUACAAGCCUGCGCAUUCAAGGUUUACUGGCUUCUGCUGGCCGGUCCCCGUGCUCUUGGCUCUCAACCGAGGAGGGGGCACGAGGGCUGUUUCAGGGAGGUUUGUCCCGAUUCCUUGGAGCAACCGGGGGUGUGUGGGUGUGUGGGUGUAUGUGUCAGUGGGCCUGGCUCUCUCCCUCUCUCGUGCAGAACGACAGGCACUUGUUUAGACACUCUAUGGGAUUUUGCCUUAAUUUAAGCCAUUUUAUAAAGAACGUACAUGGAAUUUUUAUUUUACUGAAGCAGGUAAAACAAUAAACUUGAUGAAACUUGAGAUGCUCAU